UAGUGGCAAACGGGUGAGUAACACGUGGACAACCAACCUUCCGGGUGGGGACAACAUCGCGAAAGCGGUGCUAAUACCGAAUGAACUUCCGCCGUCGCAUGACGGAGGAAGGAAAGGCAGCAAUGUCGCCGGGAGACGGGUCUGCGUCUGAUUAGCUGGUUGGCGGGGCAAGGGCCCACCAAGGCGACGAUCAGUAGCCGGUCUGAGAGGUUGAACGGCCACAUUGGGACUGAGACACGGCCCAGACUCCUACGGGAGGCAGCAGUGGGGGAUAUUGCACAAUGGGGGAAACCCUGAUGCAGCAACGCCGCGUGUGGGAAGAAGGUUUUCGGAUUGUAAACCACUGUUCUUAGUGAAGAAGAAAGUGACGGUAGCUAAGAAGAAAGCUCCGGCUAACUACGUGCCAGCAGCCGCGGUAAUACGUAGGGAGCGAGCGUUGUCCGGAUUUACUGGGUGUAAAGGGUGCGUAGGCGGCCCUGCAAGUCAGACGUGAAAGCCCCGGGCUCAACCCGGGAACUGCGUUUGAAACUGUGGGGCUUGAGUGAAGUAGAGGUAGGCGGAAUUCCCGGUGUAGCGGUGAAAUGCGUAGAGAUCGGGAGGAACACCAGUGGCGAAGGCGGCCUACUGGGCUUUAACUGACGCUGAGGCACGAAAGCGUGGGUAGCAAACAGGAUUAGAUACCCUGGUAGUCCAUGCUGUAAACGAUGAUUACUAGGUGUGGGGGGGUCUGACCCCCUCCGUGCCGGAGUUAACACAAUAAGUAAUCCACCUGGGGAGUACGGCCGCAAGGCUGAAACUCAAAGGAAUUGACGGGGGCCCGCACAAGCAGUGGAGUAUGUGGUUUAAUUCGAAGCAACGCGAAGAGCCUUACCAGGUCUUGACAUCCAACUAACGAAGCAGAGAUGCAUAAGGUGCCCUUCGGGGAAAGUUGAGACAGGUGGUGCAUGGUUGUCGUCAGCUCGUGUCGUGAGAUGUUGGGUUAAGUCCCGCAACGAGCGCAACCCUUGUCAUUAGUUGCUACGCAAGAGCACUCUAGUGAGACUGCCGUUGACAAAACGGAGGAAGGUGGGGACGACGUCAAAUCAUCAUGCCCCUUAUGACCUGGGCUACACACGUACUACAAUGGCCGUUAACAGAGAGAGGCAAAACAGCGAUGUGGAGCAAAACUCUAAAAACGGUCCCAGUUCGGAUUGUAGGCUGAAACCCGCCUGCAUGAAGUUGGAAUUGCUAGUAAUCGCGGAUCAGCAUGCCGCGGUGAAUACGUUCCCGGGCCUUGCACUCACCGCCCGUCA
rnacentral:rRNA from 1 species